UUAUAACUUAUUGGCUGGUUAUUACGUUAUUGGCCUGGUAAAAAAAAAAUUCUUUGCAAAUGUAAUAACUGAGCCAAUAACGUAAUAAGUUAUAACGGGAUUGGCCAAAAGCUAUCAUGUUAUGGUAUCGGUUUAGGACUUUUAUUACGUUGUUGGCCAGAUAUUACGUUAUUGGGUUAUUACAUUU